rnacentral:rRNA from 1 species
GACGAACGCUGGCGGCGUGCUUAACACAUGCAAGUCGAACGAAGUGGCGAACGGGUGAGUAACGCGUAAUCAACCUGCCCUUCAGAGGGUGACAACAGUUGGAAACGACUGCUAAUACCGCAUACUGAAGGAGGGGAUUGCGUCUGAUUCGCUAGUUGGAGGGGUAACGGCCCACCAAGGCGAUGCUCAGUAGCCGGUCUGAGAGGAGGAACGGCCACAUUGGGACUGAGACACGGCCCAGACUCCUACGGGAGGCAGCAGGGGGGAAUCUGCCGAAAUGGAAGAAAGUCUGACGGAGCAACGCCGCGUGAGUGAUGACGGCCUUCGGGUUGUAAAGCUCUGUUAAGCGGGACGCGGUACCGGAAUAGAAAGCCACGGCUAACUACGUGCCAGCAGCCGCGGUAAUAC